rnacentral:rRNA from 1 species
UACAGAGGUCUCGAGCGUUGUUCGGAUUCAUUGGGCGUAAAGGGUGCGUAGGUGGCGUGGUAAGUCUGGUGUGAAAUCCCGGGGCUCAACCCCGGAACUGCACUGGAUACUGCCAUGCUUGAGUACUGGAGAGGAGAUUGGAAUUUACGGUGUAGCAGUGAAAUGCGUAGAUAUCGUAAGGAAGACCAGUGGACGAAGGCGGGUCUCUGGGCCGAUACUGACGCUGAGGAGCGAAAGCGUGGGGAGCGAACAGG